rnacentral:lncRNA from 1 species
AUUUCUGCACCUAUAAAAUUAUUUCUGCACCGCACUAUACAUGGAAAACACUCAAUCUGAAAAUCUGUUCCAAAAAAGUGUUCCAGAAUGUAUUUCAUGUGUUUUAAAAAUUUUAAUAAAAAAAAUUUGUUAGGAAAUUUCUAUUUCAAAAGCUUUUUGAAAUUCAGUUAGAGAAUUAAUAGUCCGAAAAUCACUUUUAGGAGAGUAAAAUUGUUAAUUUUGAAAAUUGAUUAGCUGCAAAAAGAAAUUGAUGGGGGUGGAAGAAGUAAUUGUUAAUCGUGAAGGAUAAUAGCCCAAUGGUUAAGAACAGAAGAAAAAGCCCACUAAGCUAAACGCAGCCCCUAAGAGGGAAAACCCUAUGUUAUAUACAAAACUCGAAGAUAUUUCUGUUUUGUUACCCCUCCGCCGUUGCAAGCAGCGUAACAUCGAGUGAGUCACUCCGUGUUUUCCUUUGUUGUUGUUGUGAUGAGUGACGAAUGAUGAAUUCUGAAUUAAUGAUCAAAAGCUCUCGAAUUUGUUUGCAUUUGCAUUGACUUGCUGUUACUUGCACGGAUAUGAUUAAUUGAAAGCUUGUUGUAUGUAGGAUGGGCGAAGGGGAAGCAAAAGCGGUGGUUCCAGAAUCGGUGGUGAAGAAGGAGAAAAGGAACGAGGAGUGGGCUUUGGCUAAAAAACAGCAAGUGGAAGCAGCGAAGAAAAAGAGUUCCGAAACUCGUAAAUUGAUUUUUAGCAGAGCCAAACAGUAUGCAAAGGAAUACGAGGAGCAGGUGUUUAAACGAAAUUGAAAUCAUUGUAUUAAUAAAUUGCUUUUUAAUAUAUAUAUUUUUUAAUUUGUUUUUGUAUGUUGUUUUUUUUUUUUUCAGCAAAAGGAACUAAUUAGGUUGAAGCGUGAAGCCAAGCUCAAGGGAGGGUUUUAUGUUGACCCUGAAACUAAGCUUUUGUUCAUCAUCAGGAUUCGUGGGUAGUUAUCAAUUAAUUAAUAUAUUACAAUAUCAUAAUACUAUUGUGUUUUUUUUCCCUUUUUGUUGUUAUUAUUAUUGAUACGUGAGAUUUCUCAAAUGCCAGUAUCAAUGCCAUGGAUCCCAAAACAAGGAAGAUUCUGCAGCUUCUGCGUUUGAGACAGGUAGCUUUCGAUUACAACUGGAUAUUUUUUAUUUAUUAGUUGUGUUAGAGGUCGCUUAGUCAUUAUCGAUAACCGACAUGUAACUCCAUUUUGGUUGGAGGAAGUAGGGGUGUAAAUGCUGGGCCUAAGACAUGCUGUAGCGAUUGCUUUUGUUAUUUGAACUUUUCGAUGUUCGUGUGUAAGAGAGGGCAAGUAUGUUAUAUAUAUAUAUAUAUAUAUAUAUAUAUAUAUAUAUAUAUAUAUAUAUAUAUAUAUAUAUAUAUAUUACAGGAAUCCUUUAGUGCUGCUCCAUGAACUUAGACAAAGCAGCUCAAGAAGAGUAAAAAAUGAUGUUUCUAAAUGAGUUUCUUUUGUUACUUAUCUAAGGAAAUGCAUUUUGAUUUUGUUCUAACAAAGCAUGGGUUUUGUGUAGUUUGCCAAUCGUUCUAUAGAUAUCAUGUUUAAUAUUUAAGCAUUUAAAAUAGCGUUUUGUGUUGUAGAAAUACUAAAUCUACUCAUUUUUCUGGUUUAAGCGAUUAUAAUCCCCUCCUAUAAUAAUUGGAUCUUGGUAGGAUCAAGUAAAUUAUGCUUUUCCAGAAUCCUUUUGAAGUUCUUAUGGUUUUCUCGAACAAGCUACUUGCAAAACACCCUAUUCAAUGUUCACUUCAUCCACCAACCACUCUUUUUCAAAACCCUUUCUGGUCAUCGUACUAAGCCACUUUCAUUGUGAAACACAUAGCUCCAAUGGUGUUAACGGAGUUUUGAAGUAUGUGCAAUUUUGUGAAAGUGUGCUGGUGUGCAAGUCGUGUGGGUGGUGCUACAUAUAACUUCUCUAUCUGCAAUUGUAUAGUGCACUGCACCAUUGUGAUUGUGUGGGUUCUUUUGUUGUGUGCUAAGUUGUUGUUAACUUAUCAUGCACGCUAAUUAUUUCUGCUUGGCCUUUAUGUGCUUAAUUUUAAGAUGUAAAAUUUAAUUUCUUUAAUUUGAAGGUUUAUAGGAUCCAUCGAACAUUUUGAAUUAUGUUGUAAAUGUUGAUUUUAAAAUCAUGUGACCUUAGAAUUCGUUUUUGCUUAUCUCUAUUAUUUUGCAUGUCCAUUUCUCCAAUUGGACAUUUAUAUCGUCUCUUUUACUGGUUUUCGUGCUGGCUUAUUCCAUAAAUUUUGAUGUUGAUGUUGAUGCUGACCGGAUUCUCUGUUUACCGAAUUUCCAAGUAAAGUUGGACUAUGUCUUUAUUGAUGUGUUCAUUUUGUAUGCAGAUUUUUAAUGGCGUCUUUCUUAAAGUGAACAAAGCAACCUUGAAUAUGCUGCAUAGGGUAGAGCCUUAUGUUACCUAUGGGUAUGUAAAAUUUCAACCACCUUUGAUUAUUAUGUUUCAGUACCUGCACCAUGUGUUCUUAAUAUUUGGAAAUCCACUUCAGGUAUCCUAAUUUGAAGAGUGUAAAAGAAUUGAUCUACAAGAGAGGCUUUGGAAAAGUGGACAAGCAGAGAAUUGCUCUGACUGACAAUUCUAUUAUAGAACAGGUCUGUCUGGAGUACUCAGUCAUCUCCUUAAAUACAUUCAUUGCUUGCUAGUUUUUUCACUGACCUAAUAUUCAAUACCAGACUUUGGGGAAGCAUGGGAUCAUUUGCAUAGAAGAUGUGAUCCACGAGAUCAUGACUGUUGGACCUCACUUCAAGGAGGCAAACAAUUUUCUAUGGCCUUUCAAGCUCAAAGCUCCCCUGGGUGGUUUGAAGAAGAAAAGAAAUCAUUAUGUUGAAGGAGGUGACGCUGGCAACAGGGAAGAUUAUAUAAAUGAGCUCAUUCGAAGGAUGAAUUAGUUUUCUCCUAUGGUCGUUACUAAAAAUUUUGAGGCUAAGACAUUUUUUGUUUGUGCAUUUAUUAUUUUGAAUGUGUGAGCUGAUUGAGGUAUUCAUUCGUUAUUGCUUAGUUAUUAGAUUUGAAUUUUGAUACUUAAUUCGGGAGCAGAUUCGAAUGAUUAGAGGCCUGUUAUUAUUCUUCGGAAGAUUACCCUAAAUUUAUAUAUAACUAGACAUAGACUCAUUGUUUUUUAUUUUACUUCUUAAUUUAUGUUAAGAAAAUUAAUUAAUUAAUAUUAUGAUUUUAAAAUAAUUUAUUUAUAUAAUGAUAUCGAGUUAUAAAUAUAAUAUUUAAAUAAAGAGAUCAAUAACAUAAAAAAAUUAAAUAAUUAUUUACAGGUAUUUAAUUUUCCUAUAAUAUAUUAAUGAAAAAUAAAUAGUAUUAUUUGAAUAUUGGUUUUUCUUAGUUAAUGUAAUAGAUUAUUGAAAGUACAAUUAAUAAUAUCAAUACUAAUAGAAGUAUUGGACUAUACUAAUAAUAAUAAUAAUAAAUAAUACAAAUAAUAACGCAUGAUAAUAAAUAGUAAUAAUAAUAAUAUUUGAUACUGGAGUUUUUUUCUUUUAUAUUAUAAAAUUUACCUAAUAAUUGUUCAGUUACGAGUACUAAAACAAUUUUAUUAUAUGUUAAAAUCUAUAAACUUGAGUUAUAUAUUAGGUUUAAUAGGUUCAGAGGUCUAUAUUUGGGGAUUUGUUUCAAUUGGGUCCUACCGUUUUAAUAUGUUUACUAAUUUCAUUUAUUAAUUUAUUUGCUAAUAAUUUUAAAAUUUUUUAAUCUACCUAUGUACUUGAAACUGUUCCACCUGGAAGCGUCAACGUGCCACGUGUUAAAAAAGUUCACGGAGUUAUCUGUAGUUAACGGAAAUGGUCUUAUUGAAUCAAAUUGACAAAAUUAGGGACCUAAUUGAUCACUUCCAAAAUUGGAGGACCCAGUUGAAACAAACUCCCAAAUAUAGGGAUCUCCAAACCUAUUAAACCUAUAUAUUAUACUAAACUCAAAUGCUUAUGUAAGGGUUGUGUUUAGAGUGUUUGAAUAAAAUGUAAGUACAUUGCAGAUACUAACAAUCAAAACAAAAAACCAUAAAAUCACAUUUUUGGACAUAUACCAUGUGACACCCGGGCACUCACGAGGUUGGAGAGUGAUUGUCAGUGCAAGAGGCACGUAAAAGAAGCGGCUCCUGGCACGCUUCCAAUGGAAGGGGCACAUCGACGGAUCAAACAUACACCGGAAUGAUAGAGAUCUAAAGACUGUAUAGGUAUUAGACUAUACGGUUGAAGGAUAGCUUAAAGGAAUUAAUUUGGCUACUCAUAUCAAGAAAUGCAUUUGUUUUUCAGUAGCCUAAGCCAUCUAAAAAGUUUUUCCCAGAAAAUAUACAAGUGAGGACAAAGUACAUUGAAAAAUUUCGUGUUAACGUGUGGGACAGUCAAUAUUCUCUAUAAAUUUUACAUAUGAGCAAUUUAAAUAUGAGUAUUAUGGUCAAUUUGCUACCAAUUUGUUAUCUUAGUUGUUAUAUCAGAAUUGAUCUAGACAUUUUACUUUAUUUUAUUUUAUUUUUGUCUGUCUUUUAAAAAUUUAAUUUUUUAAAAAAUGUUUUUCGAUUGUAUUUAAUAGUGAUUGAACCUGAAAAGAUUUGAAUUUGGUAAUCGGUAUGCAUAAAUAACUGUACAUGGUUUUUGUAAGGACUUAAAAUUUAGCUAAAGUAACACUUCUUUUUUUUUAAAAAAAAAUCUAUAUUUUCAGAAUUUAUGAAUUUUAGGAAUUAUAAACUUCGGGUUAUUAUUAAAUAAAUAUAGUUAUUAUAGUUAUUAUUAAAAAUUCACUAAAGAGUGACAUGACAUAUAUCGUAUGAAGUUAAUAUUUGCAUGGCCUCAACUCUUUUCACCUAUUUCAUCUAUUUAUGGUUGGAUAUGACUAACGCCAUGUUUCCAACCACGCAAACUUCAAUUAUUUUCACAAUUUCUUAGAAUUUGUGUGGAUAGAAGGAAUAGCCAAAGUCCAAUAAAAAGAACAAAAUACAAAAAACAAAUAUCUCUUUAAUGUUUGUCAUUUACUAACUUAAGUUCAUAGAAAAGUUUGAUAAAACAUGAGGUGACUAUUUUCUACUCUCUAGGUUGAUGUAUUAUAGUACACAAAUUAUUUUUCAAAUCACCUUUCUCUCAUCCAUGAUUUACUUGUUGCCCUAAUUAUCAAACUUAUACACAAUCCAAACAUUAUUAUUCAAUAUUAUUUUUUCUCUAUGAAUUGUUUACCUCAAUUAAGUCUUCAAAACAAACGUGAAAUGAAUUAUAAAAUUAAUGUAAAAAGUUUUCAAAUAACUCGUUUGUUCUAAAAGAAAAUUCGUCAUUGUUAUUUAAAGCUUACUACUACCAUUUUUUACUCUAGCAAUUGUCAACAAAAUCAAAAUUAAGUUAGUUGUGAAAGAUCUCAAUCAUCUUUUCAUAUAUUUAAUAUCUUCAAACUUGGUUUAUCUCCAAUUUUGACAACAAGCUGAGUAGAAAAAAAUGUUACUAUUAAUAUAUAAUCAUGAUAAUGAUAAAUACUACACUAAAAUUUAGUAUUAUUUACCAUUUAUAUUCAUAAGUAAUUCAUAAAAUCAAUAGAUCAAUAAAUGCUUUUAUGAAAAAAAAUCAAUAAAAAAUUACUCGUAGAAAAAAUAUAAAAAAUAGUUAACUCCGAAUAAAUAUGAAACUUAACAAAUUCAUGAGUAAUUUUUGUUGAUUUAGUUUGUUAACGUGUCAGUGAUUUAUCUUUAAGUAAUCACAUACAAAUAAUGUUUAAUCGACUCGUUUAACAUCUAUUAUAUUUAUGCAUAAGUUAUAUAUUAUUUUUCUCAAUUAAUUAUAUAUGUUUACUUGCACGUGUAUAUAUAUCAUUAAAUAUGUUUCUCGUACUCAAAUUAUUAUUGAAAAUUUGUUCUUAAACUAAAUUAUAAAGUAUUUAGUUCUUACAAUUUAUCAAACUCAUGUAAAACAUUCCCGCAACAAAAGGGCAUGUGAAAUAUUUUUAAGUCAUAAGAAAAGUUUAAUAAUGGACUAUAAAAUAACAUCCAUGUGCUAUUUGUUGGAGAUGUUGUAUGACUUUCACAAAAUAAGUAAGGACUAAAUACUUUAUGGUAACAAAACUCAAUGUUUUAUUAUAGAUUGAGUUGUUGUUUAUUAUCUUGGUGAUUAUUUUGUUGUUAAAAAAUAAUUUGUAAAAUUGAGAAGAUUCACUUGGAAGACACAAACACCAAUGACAUCUGAGUCUAGUCAUAUAAGGGAUUGAUAUCAUUCUGUAUAAAAAACCUUAAGGUAAUGAAUCAAUGUGGAACUUAGACUCACACUUGGAUUUCCAAAAUAUCUCACGUCAUUAAUCUCCUUUUAAUUAUGAGUUUGACUAGAGGAUGCUUGGCCACAUUAUUAAUUGGCAUGAAGAAGAUAUCCAACAACAUUGUAACAUCUCCUUUAUAUUUUUCAUUCAUUCUUACCACCCAACAUUGAUUGGUAGGUGUGAAUUUUGAGACACCAACAUAAGAUGUAGACUUAAACCUUGGUUAGUAUAUUUCAUUCCUAAAAUCUUCCCAUUAAAACAAAUUUGUAGUAAAUAAAUGAAAUUGAAAAGAGAGCAUGCAAGAAACAAGUAAUUCUUGGAAAUAUUUAUAAAAAUUGAAGUAUUUGCAAUAUUUUAAGUUAUUUAAGAAUAAGAUAGACUCUAAUUUUUGGAUGAAAUAUUUUCUGAAGAUUGACAAUUCGUGGAGAAUAAAUAUUAGCCAUGUUGCUUUUAAGUUUAUUCCUCAAUCAUACAACCCUUUCUCACUAAGAUAAUAUAUAAUAUAUUUAGUUGUAAAAAAAAUCCUACUUUUUAAGUUUGCACCACAUUUGAAUAUUUUCAAUUUAAUUAUAUAUGUUUUUUUUUUGUGUGUUUGUAUUACGUACAUACAACCCAAAUGACUGGCCUACACUAUACUUAUUAUGACAACUCAUUGGUAUUAUUUUAUAAUUGGUUUUCUACUUUUUCUUCCUUUCAUACGUUCUAUCUGUAUUUAUUUCUCACACUUAAGUGGCAGAUCACAUGACAAAGAUAUGAAUGGUCCAACCUUUGUCGGUUGUUCCUAUCUUUUCACCAGCAAGUCCCAACUUCUCUUUUUUUUUUUCUUAAAAUCUUUUCUUUUCUAUGCUUAUUAUGUCACCAAUUAGUCGCCAUAGUCAUCAUGUAUGGGCAAAGCAUCAUCCUCAGCUAAUUGUUCUUCUUAUAUGCGUUCCAUUGAAGUGCAUUUCAAAAGCUAACAUCAUUGUUUAUGUGACAGUUGUUGUCUUUUUUACAAAAUCAUGUAUGAUUUUCCUUUAGGCAUGGUUUACUCGAGUGAAUUUGAGGAAAAGUAAUUGAACGAAUUUGAGAAGAUUUAAAUGUAAUUUUUUUUGUUUAUUUGAGUGUAUUUGGAAGUAAACGCGAGUGGAUUUAGAAGUAAAGUUUAUGAGAAUUAGUGUAGAAUUUAAUUUAUGUAACAGAUUAAAAAAAUUUACUUCCAAAUUCACUCUCACUCAUCUCUAAAUCUUUUCAAAUAUCAAAAAACAAAUUAUCUUCAAAUUCUCUCAAAUCCUUUCAAUUACUCUCUCCAAAUCCACUCAAGUGAACAAAACCUUAGAGGUGCAAUAAUAAGACAUUUGAUUUAUAAAUACAAAAUACAACGAAUAUCAAAAAAUAUCUUACAUUAUGUUUUUAGUAACACUUUAAAAGACUUUCUACCAAUAAAGAUAUUUUAUGUGUAUAUAAAUCCAUAUCUAUUCUUUUUUGUUUUAUCUAAUAUAGAAUUUUGUUCGUACCAACAAUAAUAUUAUUUACUAUUUUCAACAUAUAUUUUUACUUUUAUGUCCAAACAUACAUACGUAGUGAGAAUAAGAUUAGAUAUUAAUAAAUAACCACUAUCAAAAAUAGAUUGAUAACGAUUUAAUAAUAAUGCACCAUGAUCACAACAACCAAUAUAAAUCUUGUUAUAUUAAUUUUUUUAUGAUUAUAAUAUAUUAUUUAAAUGCAAUUCAAUUUUACAAAAUGAUUCAUACAGUUUAUCCUCACUUAUAUCCUUUAAUUUUAACUUAUCUAUAAUAUAUAUGAAUUCCAACUAUACACUGUUUAAAAUCCAGACCCUUCUAAGAAGAGCAAACAGAUCGAGAUUGGACAUGAAUCUGUUCUGCAAAUUAACGUAGUUUUGCAGGGAUGCAGCAACAUUAAGAAGAUUAACAUUAUGGUUUGGUUGUCGCAUGCGUCAGCACGAAUUCCUGAUUCUUAUAAUUUCGAUUGGUAUGAUUGAGGUGCUGUCAUGUUAGUUUCCGUGUGAGAUGCUACCAUAGAAGGACACGUAUAGUAGUUCCUGCUGAAAGACACGACAAGUGUAACCACAAAUGAUCCUUUAACAACCUAAAAGAUAAUUACGUUGUUUGUCAUAUUGUGAAGUCGUGCCCAUAAAUUGUGUUGGUGAAGUUCAAAGAUUUGACAUGCGUAGUCACAGAUUGUCUUUUCCCAACCCAACAUACACAGAAAUAGUAAGGUUAUGGAGGCACAUAAGGAGAAGAGAGAGGAAAUGGAGAUGAAAAGAGGAUCAAAGAAUAGUAACAAGGAAGAAAAGGGAUCAAAGGGUGAAACAGUGAGCAAAAGGAUGAUUGGUGAGUCAAUAAUAUCAGAUGGUGGCGACAAACAGAGAGCUCAAACACCACAUGAUGUGUUGGUUUUCUCCCGUUGCGUUCGUAACAUCGAUUCUUCCAUAGAAUGAUCCAUGGAUUAGGGUUAAGCAAGAUUUCUUGUUCAAUUAUCAUAUCGUUUAUUAUCUAAAAACUAAUUAUUGAGUAUGUUAGAAGUGGGUUUUUAGGCCUAACUCAACCCUAUAAAAUCGGCUUGUAAGGUGAGGUUUGCACCUCACUUAUAUAUUAUAAUUUGACCUUAUCUUUAGUCGAUGUAAGACUUUGUUUUUACUGAUUUCAUUUUUAUCUAGUAGACGAAAGACUGAUUGUACAGCUAAGCUAAAAUAAUGUUAUGGUUGAUACGGAUUUCUUAAUUUAUCAUUACAUGCACAAAAUGUGUAAUUACCAUGUUAACUUUAAGUUAAUUUUUUUAUGUUGAUAAGGGAGCAGGGUUAGCGUUGAAUAAUUUUUAAUAAAUUAAGAUUAAUAGUAAGUAAACACUGAAAUCAAUUUCUUAGGGUUUUUACCUUUUCCCUGUAUAUAACAUGAGUUUAGUUUUGAAGGUUCAUUGUUAUCACAGUUUAGAAGGAUGGAUCGAAUCCAUAUAUCAAUCAGAUAACACCUGCACGGGAAGAAGCUGUCCGACUAUAAUAAUAUAUUCACUUUUGUUACAAACUAAGCAAUUUUUCUUUUAAGAAAAUAAAAAGAUAAAAUAUUAUCUAAAAAACCUCAUAAUUUUUUAAUAUUUUCUGUAAUUUUCAAU